rnacentral:rRNA from 1 species
UACGUAGGGUGCAAGCGUUACUCGGAAUUACUGGGCGUAAAGCGUGCGCAGGCGGUUUGGUAAGACCGAUGUGAAAGCCCCGGGCUUAACCUGGGAAUGGCAUUGGUGACUGCACGGCUAGAGUGUGUCAGAGGGGGGUAGAAUUCCACGUGUAGCAGUGAAAUGCGUAGAGAUGUGGAGGAAUACCGAUGGCGAAGGCAGCCCCCUGGGAUAACACUGACGCUCAUGCACGAAAGCGUGGGGAGCAAACAGG